GCGCGAAAACUCUCCAAUGUGCGAAAGCGUGAGAGGGGAACUCCCAGUGCUACAGGUUUAUCCUGUGGCUUUUGCCAAGUGUAAAUAGCUUGGCGAAUAAGUGGUGGGUAAGACUGGUGCCAGCCGCCGCGGUAACACCAGCGCCACGAGUGGCUAUCGCGAUUAUUGGGCCUAAAGCGUCCGUAGUCGGCUUUGUGCAUCUUCUGUGAAAUCGCAGCGCUCAACGUUGCGGCACGCGGAAGACACGGCA
rnacentral:rRNA from 1 species